GAUGAACGCUAGCGGCAGGCUUAAUACAUGCAAGUCGUGGGGCAGCAUGAGUAGCAAUACUUGAUGGCGACCGGCAAACGGGUGAGGAACACGUACACAACCUUCCUUCAAGCGGGGAAUAGCCCAGAGAAAUUUGGAUUAAUACCCCAUAAUAUAUUUGAUAAGGCAUCUUAUUAAUAUUAAAGCUUCGGCACUUGAUGAUGGGUGUGCGGCUGAUUAGAUAGUUGGCGGGGUAACGGCCCACCAAGUCUACGAUCAGUAGCUGAUGUGAGAGCAUGAUCAGCCACACGGGCACUGAGACACGGGCCCGACUCCUACGGGAGGCAGCAGUAAGGAAUAUUGGACAAUGGACGAAAGUCUGAUCCAGCCAUGCCGCGUGAAGGAUUAAGGUCCUCUGGAUUGUAAACUUCUUUUAUAUGGACGAAAAAGGGACAUUCUUGUUCACUUG
rnacentral:rRNA from 1 species